GACGAACGCUGGCGGCGUGCUUAACACAUGCAAGUCGAACGGAAAGGCCCUGCUUUUGUGGGGUGCUCGAGUGGCGAACGGGUGAGUAACACGUGAGUAACCUGCCCUUGACUUUGGGAUAACUUCAGGAAACUGGGGCUAAUACCGGAUAGGAGCCCCUGCUGCAUGGUGGGGGUUGGAAAGUUUCGGCGGUUGGAGAUGGACUCGCGGCUUAUCAGCUUGUUGGUGGGGUAGUGGCUUACCAAGGCUUUGACGGGUAGCCGGCCUGAGAGGGUGACCGGCCACAUUGGGACUGAGAUACGGCCCAGACUCCUACGGGAGGCAGCUGUGGGGAAUAUUGCACAAUGGGCGGAAGCCUGAUGCAGCAACGCCGCGUGCGGGAUGACGGCCUUCGGGUUGUAAACCGCUUUCGCCUGUGACGAAGCGUGAGUGACGGUAAUGGGUAAAGAAGCACCGGCUAACUACGUG
rnacentral:rRNA from 1 species